rnacentral:rRNA from 1 species
UACAGAGGUCUCAAGCGUUGUUCGGAAUCACUGGGCGUAAAGGGUGCGUAGGUGGCGUGGCAAGUCAGAUGUGAAAGCCCGGGGCUCAACCCCGGAACUGCAUCCGAUACUGCCAUGCUAGAGUACUGAAGGGGUGACUAGAAUUCUCGGUGUAGCAGUGAAAUGCGUAGAUAUCGAGAGGAAUACCAAAGGCGAAGGCAGGUCACUGGGCAGUUACUGACACUGAGGCACGAAGGCCAGGGGAGCAAACAGG